GAAGUGCCCUUCAGAAGGCUGAGGAUGGGAGAGCAUCCCACGCGUUCACACUCACUGGCAUUCAUGGGAAGAUGAUGUCGUAUUUGAGGAUGGGCAGACCCAUGCAGACCCCACCCCCUGCUGGCCUCCGACUUUGGAUGCUCCUCCUAUCUCAGCCUCAAGAAUGCUGGAAUUAUGAGUCACCAUGCCCAGAUCUUUGUUUUAUUUUUAAUCCUCCUUUUUCUUGCUUGUGACCACUAGGCAAAUAUUAAAGGAACUACAACCAAA